GGUGUCCACAAGAUUUGAUUGCUAUAAAUUCCUCUCGUGUACUUUUUUACACAAAAAAUCCCCAUUCAGGCCUUAUCUGGCAAAGCCUUUCAAGCUGUCAGUUCGCCUAUAAAAGCUCAUUUCUUACGUAUCACGAUCAUCAGUCUCUCAAUUCACGUUGCAGAAGCAAUAUCAACCAAGAAUUCCACAUCCUUUACCCCAGGAUUAAUCCAGAAAUACCAACAUGAACUUCAAUCUGAUCUUCGUAUUUGUGGCUCUCAUCAUGGCCAUUAGCCUGGGACAGUCGGAAGCUGGUUGGCUCAAAAAGAUUGGCAAGAAUUGAACGUGUUGGACAGCACACUCGGGAUGCCACUAUCCAGACUCUGGGAAUCGCUCAACAGGCCGCCAAUGUCGCAGCAACUGCUAGGGGAUAAAAUUUUAUAUCUAUAACACUAAUUUUAAAUUAUUUAUCCGAGCCUAACCUAUUGUACAAUUCAUUUCUAAGACAUACAAAUAAAUACUUUUAAAAAUA